UACGGGGGAGCAAGCGUUGUUCGGAUUUACUGGGCGUAAAGGGCGCGUAGGCGGCCACCGCAAGUCGACUGUGAAAUCUCCGGGCUUAACCCGGAAAGGUCAGCCGAUACUGCGGGGCUAGAGUGCAGAAGGGGCAACUGGAAUUCUCGGUGUAGCGGUGAAAUGCGUAGAUAUCGAGAGGAACACCUGCGGCGAAGGCGGGUUGCUGGGCUGACACUGACGCUGAGGCGCGAAAGCUAGGGGAGCGAACGGG
rnacentral:rRNA from 1 species